ACGUCAGAACUGUUUCGGUCUUCCAUCAGGGUUUCCCCUGACUUCAACCUGAUCAAGUAUAGUUCACCAUCUUUCGGGUCACAGCAUAUAUGCUCAAGGUACGUUCCAGUUAGAGGUAUAAAUAAUAUAAAUAUCAUCAUACAUAACUAUAUAGAACGCCCCGGGAUUGUGUUAAUUAACUAUAAAUAGUUAAAAAACUAAUCCCAUUAAUAGUCAAGUUAAUUACGCUAUUAGGUUU
rnacentral:rRNA from 2 species